rnacentral:rRNA from 1 species
UGGGGAAUAUUGCACAAUGGGCGAAAGCCUGAUGCAGCGACGCCGCGUGAGGGAUGACGGCCUUCGGGUUGUAAACCUCUUUCAGUAGGGACGAAGCGCAAGUGACGGUACCUGCAGAAGAAGCACCGGCUAACUACGUGCCAGCAGCCGCGGUAAUACGUAGGGUGCGAGCGUUGUCCGGAAUUACUGGGCGUAAAGAGCUCGUAGGCGGUUUGUCACGUCGUCUGUGAAAUCCUAGGGCUUAACCCUGGACGUGCAGGCGAUACGGGCUGACUUGAGUACUACAGGGGAGACUGGAAUUUCUGGUGUAGCGGUGGAAUGCACAGAUCUCAGGAAGAACACCGAUGGCGAAGGCAGGUCUCUGGGUAGUAACUGACGCUGAGGAGCGAAAGCAUGGGUAGCGAACAGG